rnacentral:rRNA from 1 species
AUACGUAGGGGGCGAGCGUUGUCCGGAAUUACUGGGCGUAAAGGGUACGCAGGCGGCCAUGUAAGUCAGAUGUGAAAGGUCACGGCUCAACCGUGGUAAGCAUUUGAAACUGUGUGGCUUGAGUUAAGGAGAGGAAAGUGGAAUUCCUGGUGUAGCGGUGAAAUGCGUAGAUAUCAGGAGGAAUACCAGUGGCGAAGGCGACUUUCUGGACUUAAACUGACGCUGAGGUACGAAAGCGUGGGGAGCAAACAGGAUUAGAUACCCUGGUAGUCCACGCCGUAAACGAUGAGUGCUAGGUGUCGGAGGGAGACUUUCGGUGCCGCAGUUAACACAUUAAGUAUUCCGCCUGGGGAGUACGGUCGCAAGACUAAA